UACGUAGAGUGCAACCGUUGUUCGGAUUCACUGGGCGUAAAGGGCACGUAGGCGGCUUGGCAAAUCGGUCGUGGAAUCCCGACGCUUACCGUCGGAACGGCGGCCGAAAAUACCGGGCUCGAGGGCGUGAGGGGUCACUGGAACUCCUGGUGAAGCGGUGAAAUGCGUAGAUAUCAGGAGGAACGCCGGAGGCGAAAGCGAGUGACUGGCGCGUUCCUGACGCUGAGGUGCGAAAGCUAGGGGAGCAAACAGG
rnacentral:rRNA from 1 species